GUGUCCAGUGGAAUCAUCUUACUCCAAGUGCAGCUUUAGACAAAAUGGCAUGUAUUCCAGAUUGUCCUUACACACCUCAGGAAGGUGUCAUGUUGGAGACCUAUGUGCUCUUUUAUAAUAGUCGGCACAUCUCGUGUUGCUUAGCAUUGGAACAGAUCACAAUUUCCCUAUUUGAACUCCAGAUGAAGUACUUGCCUUGGAUUUAGGGACUUACAGGAAAAAUGUUUCUUUAAACACUGGACUGUUUAAAGAACAGAACUGAAACCUCACACCGCUCUGCCUGCUCGCACUUAUUCUGGGGCAUGUGCUUGGUUAGCAGAAUGACGUGGGCACAAAUAUUAGAAUUUACAAAAGUUAAAUGCUUACGUGUGAUACAACUCUACCGUACGUAAUAUUUUUUGGGGGAAACAAUUUUAGGGCAGAGAAGAGCAUAUGUAGAUGAUCUCAUGUGACACGUAAGAACUAUACAGUGAUUACAUCUGGAGAGAAUGGUUUUAUCAUUUGUAUACUUUUUUGUAUUAUAAAAAUGUUUCUUUGAAAGGUAAUGUUUUUUAAAUAGUAAUAUUUAUGUAAUAAAAAUUUCAAAGUCAGAAAAGAACAAAAGGCCAUCCUGGAUACUAUGCUCUUCCCGACACUCCCUCUGGAUUUGGUUUUGUCCCACAGGAUGAGGCUGGAAUUGUGGGCACUGGCAAUUUUGACUUUGAUUAGAGGUAGAAACAGCGCUGAAUUCCUUGUUACCACUGCUGCCUCCUGAGAAGUUAAAUGGCAAGGAGCUCUGUUGUCCCACGUCCUUAUCCUCCAGAGUGCACUCUGGCUGUCGAGUGCCUGACACUUAGGUGGGCUCAGUCAGGGCUACUCUGCCUUCCUCUUCCUGCUAACAACCGGACUGGAGCCGCCUUCACCACAGACGCUGCCCCUCUCCUUGGAGAGUCACCAUCGUUCAGUGUCGCAGAACACCCAUCAGCCCAGUUAUCUGCGGCCAACUGCAGUCCAAAAAUUUUAAGUGGAAAAUUCCAGAAAUAAACAAUUCGUAAGUUUUAAAUUCUGCGACAAUCUGAGUAGCAUGAUGAAAUCUCAUGCUGUUGCACCUGGGAUCCCCAGCCAUCAACAUCGUUUGCUCAGCCAUCGACGUUGUCACGGCUCAGUGGUUCAGCAUCAGCCAAAGCAGAUGAGCCUCCUCCUCCUGACAGACCAGGUCAGUGGUAGCCUAAUGCUACGUCCCCACACCCGUGUCAUUCACCUCACUUCAUCACGUAGGCAUUUUACCACCUCAUGGCCCAAGAAGGGUGAGUAUGGUACCAUGAGAUAUUUUGAGAGAGACCACAUUCACAUCACUUUCAUUACAGUAUAUUGUUAUAAUUGUUCUAUUUUAUUAUUAGUUAUUGUUGUUAAUCUCUUAUUGUGCCUGAUAUAUAAAUUAUACUUUACCAUAGGCAUGUUACGUAUCAGAGAAAACGUAUUAUAUUUAGGGUUUGGUACUAUCUGUGAUUUCAGGCAUCAAUUGGGAGUCUUGGAAUGGAUCCCCCUUGGGGACUAUUCUGGUGACAGGCAGAGGGUUGAGUAUCUCAAAACUCAGGAGAGUUCUUUACCUAGAGGAGGCAGAGGUAGAGGGGUGGGGACACAAGGGAUGGGAGAGGCACUUAAGCUGGCUUCCAAGGACCACCAAUGCCUUAUUUCCUAACCUGAGCAGUAUUCACCCAUAGAUUUUUGUCUCAUUACUAUUUGAAUUACACCCUAUUGAAUAUAUUCUUCUGAUUAUAUUUCUCAAUUUUCAAAAAAAAAAGUUAAAUUUGGAUUACUUAGCCCUGACAUAUUAAAAUGCAGGCUCUUGGGGCCCAGCUCAUUAAAAUGCAGAUUCUCUUUCAGGAGAUCUAAAUCUGGCCCAGAAAUCUGUGUGUUAGCAUCUUCCCCUGGUGAAUUCUGGUGUUUCUGUCGCUUGAAGCUGCUCCAAGUUGGAGCGAGCAAGAGUUGAUGUGAUACCUCUUGAGUGAAGAGAGGCCAGAUGCCAGGAGAGGAGGGUAUAGAGCAACCCACCCUGGCACAUCUGCAGACUGCAACUCCCCUACCCCCCAAAACCUAAAGGUUCCCUUUAUACAAAAUUCUAGGGUGUAACUUACAUCUCUAUACCUUUUUUGUAACCUGUAAUGCAAAUCACGAGUGCUUCUGGGCUGCAAUAGAGGCCCUCCAAAUUGUAAAUCCAUGAGCCAUUGAACAUCUGGAUGGAGCAUGAGCCUUGGAAAAAUUGUGCCUCUUGGUAUCCAUGGUGUCUGAAGCAAAGCAAAACAGUGUGCACGGGGUGGGAUAUGGAAACACAUUGGGCAGAACCCCUUAUUAAAGGGUGUAAAAUGUCACUGGGAGCCUCUGCUGUUUUAUUGCAUGAGGGUAAUAAAUAUUAAUAAGGGCCUUCAUGAGUUCUCUCAUCACAUGGUUUUCCCCCAAUGCUUUUUACCAUAAAGUCUUCAGUUGUGAAUCCUCCUGUUAUUUGGGAGAGAAUACAGCAAAAUCAGGAAAUACAGUAGAAUCAGUCCACAAACACACACCAGCCUUUGGGUUCCAAGUCACCCUCAAAGCUGUCUCCCCUCAUGUUCACUUGAAGCCUAAACCAUCUUUCCAAGCCUGGGACCUCUCUUCUUGGUGCUGGGCACUGACCUGAGCCAACAUGUCAGAGUCCUGGUGACUCUCAGGAGCCUCCGACUAUCAGAAGUGGGGAAAGCUUAGCUCUCUCCCCUCCUAGCUGGCUACCACAUGGUGUGCUAUGAAAGCAAGUCUCAGACCACAAGUACAAAACUGACCAGUGAGCAUACGAUUCAUGCCGUCUGUUCCUAAAGCUCAGCGGAAUGUCUGUUUGCUCUCUUGAUGCACUUCCGUGGGGCAUGUGAGGAUGUGUGGACAGUAGGAUUGUACUGAGGAAACAGAAUCACAUGGGGAUCCUCUGGUAAGUAUGUGCGGUUUGGAGGAGGGAUGAGAUGCAGGUCCUAUCUGAGUUCCAGACUAAAACAUUCUGAAGGGCUUAGAUGGCUGGGCUUGCCAAAUUCUUAUGCCCCAUUUUAAUGGGGACAGAGGUGCCUAUAUGUAAUGUUUCUGGCCAGUCACAUAUUUUGGACUUGACUCAUUUCACCAAAGGAAAGUUAUUUCUAAUAUUUCUAUACUAACGGGGAAUAGAAAUUCACUCCCAGGGCUUGUGCUGCCUUUAAACAUGUGCUGGCAGAGGAGUGGAGGAGGGGAAGGACCCUCUAUACCCAAUGCACCACACCAGACCUUUAAAAAUAGAUGGAAAACUGUGCUAAUAUGAUAACCACUGGCCACCUGUGUCUAUUUAAAUUAAGUUUUAAUUAAUUUAAGAUAAACUAAAAACUCAGUUCUGUCAUACUAGCCACAU